rnacentral:tRNA from 1 species
AGAGAAUAGUUUAAUAAAAAUUUUAAUUUUGGAGAUUAAAGAUAAAAAGAUAUUUUUUUCUCUGAA